rnacentral:rRNA from 1 species
CGCUCCUUGAUUUAAAUUAAUAAGGAGUCGGACCUGCCCAGUGAUAAGUAUUUAACGGCCGCGGUACUCUGACCGUGCAAAGGUAGCAUAAUCAUUUGCCCUAUAAUUGAGGGCUAGUAUGAAUGGUUUGACAAGAACAAUACUGUCUCUUUCAAAAUUUUUAGAAUUUAUUCUUUAGGUGAAGAAACCUAAAUAAAAUUAAAAGACAAGAAGACCCUAUCGAGCUUAAACUCUUUUUAUAAAAUAAAAAAAAUUAAUAAUAUUUUUUGUUAUAAAAAAUUUUGGUUGGGGCGACUAAGGAACAAAAAAAGCUUCUUUAUUUAAUAAAGACAAAUCUGUAUUGAUCCAUAAAAUCUUGAUUAAAAGAAUUAGUUACCGUAGGGAUAACAGCAUAAUCUUUUUUAAGAGUUCUUAUCGAAAAAGAGGUUUGUGACCUCGAUGUUGGACUAAAAUUUCCUAAUAGAUGCAGACGUCUUUAAGGG